GUGGGGAAUAUUGCGCAAUGGGCGAAAGCCUGACGCAGCAACGCCGCGUGAGUGAUGAAGGUCUUCGGAUCGUAAAGCUCUGUCGACAGGAAAGAUGGGUUUGUCGGAUAAUACCCGGCAGAUUUGACGGUACCUGUAAAGGAAGCACCGGCUAACUCUGUGCCAGCAGCCGCGGUAAGACAGAGGGUGCAAGCGUUGUUCGGAAUCAUUGGGCGUAAAGGGCGCGUAGGCGGCCAAGUAAGUCAACUGUGAAAGCCCAGGGCUCAACCCUGGAAGUGCAGCUGAAACUGCUUGGCUAGAAUAUCGGAGAGGGUGGUGGAAUUCCCAGUGUAGAGGUGAAAUUCGUAGAUAUUGGGAGGAACACCGGUGGCGAAGGCGACCGCCUGGACGAAUAUUGACGCUGAGGCGCGAAAGCGUGGGUAGCAAACAGG
rnacentral:rRNA from 1 species